CUUUUACUCUCCGCUGGACUGGAGAAGUUUACCUCCCCCAACACCCAAGAGAUGCGACUUAAUGCUCUCAAAGGCUAGUGCUCACCACGUCUGGGGUCCCUGGGCAGGCAGGAGAGAACGCUGCGGACAGGGAACCGCCCUGCCUCAGCUACAGAGCCACGCCGGCUCCUUCGCAUUUCUUAAAAAGUGAGUCGGAGUUAUGCAACCAGCAUAAUUAGCGUCUAUCGAGUCCCGGAGAAUCUUUUACAUCCACAGCACUGAUUUCACACCUAGAAGUCGUAGCAGUUUCGAAAUUACUGUAACACACCGCCCGGAUGAUAUAUUGUCUGUCUUAGGCCAGAUUAGCAGGACACGCGCGCAUAACCUACGUUUAAAUCACACCCUGAAAUGCGGAGAAGAUGGUUAGCCCCGUAGGGAUUUACAGGCGACAGAGGAAAACUGGGACAAUUCAUUGUUUCUCUUUUUUGAUUUCCUGUUUCUAGAGAAAGCAUUGGUGUCAAGGACGAGGUAGGUAAUGCGAUCUAAAAGGCACGCCGGAUGCCCCAUCCUAAUCCGUAGUUCCAGGAAAACUGCCUUCAGUCGACACCGCGUACGUUCCUCUCGCCUGUCCAGCUGCCCCGGCAGGGACGCCCCCAAGGGUCUGUAUUCCUAGGGCUGGAAACAAAACAGCUAACCGGGUCUGCUGCUAAGAGAGCGCUCCAAGAUGGACUGCCGGGGAAAGGCAUUUUGACCCCGAUGGAAAUUAGUCAUAUUGACAGACGCCCAGGGAAGCUGCGCGAGGUGCUCCACGUUGCCCCACAUACCCGAAGCCGUGCUUCUACCCACCGGAUUGCCUUCGGGGGCCCCUGGGAGCCGUGUCGACGCCGCGGCGCUGUGGGUCCGCGCGAGCAGGAACCAGCAGGCCCGUCAGGUCUGCGCUCUCGGCAGCCGGGUCGCCCAGCGUGGUCGAAGAUGCUCAGAGGAGGAGGAAGCGCCGAGAAAAAAGAGGAAGGAGGCGGCGGGGUGUGUGUGUGUGUCGGGGGAGGGGGGGGGAGGACCUGACAUACACACAAGCGCGCAAAACCGACUUUGGUGAUGGGCUUUUUCAGUUUCACACGAAGCGACCUGUAGUAUCUGGAGAAGGUUUUUGAAGACGUUUAGGAGGGAGGGUGAGUUUUCUGCUGAGAAACUCAAUCUGCCAUACAGUAGCGGCCCCAUCUGGGAUCUGUCACUGCUGACAGCACCACAGGGCACAGACGUGAUCUUCUGCACAGCCUGCACUCCCCGAAAUACCCUCCUUAAUCAAAGGAUGUCUGCGCGCCGGAGCUCAGCUGACCGCACCGGGAGCAGAGGGGCCAGCGAAUUCCACCCCCGCCUCCCCCGGCCGCCCCCUCCCCACCGACGCAGCCGGGCCCCUCUCCUCUGACCAGCGCAUUAAUUAAAAGCGGAAAAGAGACAGAGGCUGAUGUCAUUGCUCUCAGAAGAUCAUAAACGUAAAAGAGUCAUCCUGUGAGAAUCCCUGAAAAUGACUUUAAUGAAUAAUUUCAGAGACAGUUAUGGCUUUGGGUAAUUACUGAGCGAGAAUAUGAAAACCAGAUUUGGAAAGCGAAGGCGAUGGUCAGGCGGCCUGGCGGCCACUUUCUCCCAUUAAAACCGCACCAGCUUUUCCUCACCGCCAAAUUCUAGUUACAGACUUUAGAUGCAUUUUCUUCUUUAGGAAUAAAAGCAACAAGCACGCAUUUUUUCCUUCCUGC
ensembl:lncRNA